rnacentral:lncRNA from 1 species
ACUAGGCUAAUUUUUGUAUUUUUAUUAGAGACGGUGUUUCACCAUGUCGGUCAAGCUGGUCUUGAACUCCUGACCUUAUGAUCCACCCACCUCGGCCUCCCAAAGUGCUGGGAUUACAGUGAGGAAGGCGAUCUGCUGUGGUGAAGAAUGCAUUUUCCUUGUGGAAGUCACGUGACCAGUGUGCAUUGACACAAUCUGAGACUGAUUCGGUGCUCCCUCAGGAAUGUGCAAGAGAAGAUCCUGUGCCCAGCCAACAAACACCAGCGUUGCUUGAUGUUUUGAAGUUUAAUAGCCCAUGGAGCAUAUGUGAGAGACCGGAAUCGAUCUAUAAGGCUCACGCUGGUCUUGAACUCCUGUGCUCAAAACAUUCUACUUCAGCCUCCCAAGUUGCUGGGAUUAUAGGCUCAAGCAAAAUUCACCUUGCCUUUUUGGAUUCAAAUGAUGGCAAAACAAGCACAAGCUGGAAAACUGGUCAUGGAUUUUGAAAUAGCCACCACCUUUUCUGCUCCCAGCAUGUUCUAAAUAUUUUUCUUAUUUGUUUUCCUUACUCCUAAGGUAUUUUAUUUCUACAAAAAAAUUUAUUGACCCACAUAGUUUGUCAGAUAUCUAAUAAAGAAAGGU